rnacentral:lncRNA from 1 species
AAUGUUUUAAAAAGUAUCAAUUUAAUACUGAAUACUUAGAAAUACGGUACACAGAUGCCAUAGAAAUAUAAAAUGCAUACAACUAGCAACUAUUUUAUGAAACUUUAACAUGGAGGGUGACAUUUUCCAACAAAUAAAACUACAGACAAAAGUACCAGAUAUAUUUGAGGUUUCAUUUUAAAUACCAUUUAGUCAUGCAGACAAUUAGGAGGUUUUUAAAAAAAUAAAUACGACAAAUAUAUGGAUUUCUGAAGUAUAAAUUGACAUACAAAUCUAUAUAUUUUCAUAAUAUUUCUCA